AACGAACGCUGGCGGCAUGCCUAACACAUGCAAGUCGAACGAGACCUUCGGGUCUAGUGGCGCACGGGUGCGUAACGCGUGGGAACCUGCCCUUAGGUUCGGAAUAACUCCCCGAAAGGGGUGCUAAUACCGGAUAAUGUCUUCGGACCAAAGAUUUAUCGCCUUUGGAUGGGCCCGCGUUGGAUUAGCUAGUUGGUAGGGUAAAAGCCUACCAAGGCGACGAUCCAUAGCUGGUCUGAGAGGAUGAUCAGCCACACUGGGACUGAGACACGGCCCAGACUCGUACGGGAGGGAGAAGUGGGGAACAUUGGACAGUGGGCGGAAGGAUGAACGAGCAAUGCUGGGUGAGUGAUGAAAGCAGUAGGGUUGUAAAGAUCUUUUAACCGGGAUGAUCAUGACAGUACCGGGAGAAUAAGCUCCGGCUAACUCCGUG
rnacentral:rRNA from 1 species